AAAAUUGCUUUAAGCUAGAAUUUCUGGAAGGGCCAUAAACUUGUGUCACAAAUCUGAAUUGUAAAAUAAUCAUAUUUUACAAAUUAUGUGAAAUAGACUUGCAAAAGUAUAGCUAUAUACAUUAAAAGACAAAUAAACUUGUUAAGAACAAAAUUCAACGAAAUCUCCCUUUAAGAGAUUACAUCUACAAACACUACAGUCAUUAAUACUUUCAACCAUAAUAUUUACUCAAACCUUACAUUUACAAAAUUAAACUUCACGAGUGACGAACAACACAUCAAAAAUACUAUAUUAAAACAUGAGUUUAUCACGAAAAUUUGAAUUGAAAUUUCUUCGAGCUCUUAUCCACAUAAAUCCUAUAAUGCUAGCCCAAAUCAGACCAUGUGACUAAACUUCUCCUCUGAACCUUAGGCUCUGGAAGUACUAGAAGUUGACAUUUUUCACUAACUAAUUAUACAAACACAGCAGAAACGCUAUCAUAGACAUUAAAAAAUUAUAUAAGUGAAAGAAUGAAUGAUGUGGCUAGCAAAACAGACUAUGAGGAGUGUAUUGACAAAUUGGCAUUAAUGGAUUAAAGAAAAAAAAAGGUAACAUUUCAUGUCUAGAAAAUACGCAAAGCUAUAGAAUUUGACAUCUUCAGCUAAAAUUUCAAGUUACAGCAGCGA
rnacentral:misc_RNA from 1 species